rnacentral:tRNA from 1 species
GGGGGUUUAGCUCAGUGGUAGAGCGCUUGCCUAGGAAGCUCAAGGCCCUGGGUUCGGUCCCCAGCUCCG